ACUCCUACGGGAGGCAGCAGUUAGGAAUAUUCGGCAAUGGGGGAAACCCUGACCGAGCGACACUGCGUGAAGGAGGAAGGCCUUAGGGUUGUAAACUUCUGAACGAGAGACGAUAAUGACGGUAUCUCGGUAAUAGCACCGGCUAACUCCGUGCCAGCAGCCGCGGUAAUACGGGGUGGCAAGCAGUUAAUUCAGGAGUUAUUGGGCGUAAAGGGUGCGUAGGUUGUUAUUUAAGUCAUGUGGGAAAUACCUGGGCUCAACCUGGGAAUGACGGAUGAUACUGAAUGACUAGAGUAUAGUAGAGGGUAGUGGAAUUUCCGGUGUAGCGGUGAAAUGCGUAGAGAUCGGAAGGAACACCAGUGGCGAAGGCGGCUACCUGGACUAAUACUGACACUGAGGCACGAAAGCGUGGGUAGCAAACAGGAUUAGAUACCCUGGUAGGUC
rnacentral:rRNA from 1 species